rnacentral:rRNA from 1 species
GACGAACCGUGCGAACGUUAUUCGGAAUCAUUGGGCUUAAAGCGCGUGUAGGCGGAUUCGUGCGUCUGUCCGCUGAAAUCCCCCGGCUCAACCGGGGAAGUGGCGUAGGAUACGACGAGUCUGGAGGGGCAUAGGGGGACCUGGAACUUCCGGUGGAGCGGUGAAAUGCGUUGAGAUCGGAAGGAACGCCCGUGGCGAAAGCGAGGUCCUGGACGUUUUUCUGACGCUGAGGACGGCGAAAAGCCAGGGGAGUGAACGGG